CCGAGUUGCACCGACUCCCAAACCCCUGUGAACCUACCACACGUUGCUUCGGCGGACCGCCCCGGCGCCCCUCGCCCCCCCCGGGCAGGCGGCCCGGAGCCAGGCGCCCGCCGGGGGACCCAAACUCUUGCCUUCGCUCCGGCGGAAUCUUCUUCUGAGUCGCGAAACGAAUGAAUCA
rnacentral:misc_RNA from 1 species